rnacentral:rRNA from 1 species
AGUCAUAUGCUUGUUUAAAGGAUUAAGCCAUGCAUGUCUAAGUUCAGCUAAAAAUAAAGUGAAACUGCGAACGGCUCAUUAAAUCAGUUAAAAUUUAUAAAGAGUAGGUGUUUUAGAACCCCGCCAAACCCAGGAUAUCAUUUGGUAAAUCUAAUGUUAAUACGUGUAAUACAAAGGCACUUGUGCUUUUUUGAGAUACAUAUUAGCUUAAAAACCAAAAAAAGUUUUUACCUACUCUUCUGUAUGUAAAAAUUUUGUGCGUUUAAAACUAAAAAAAAAGUUGAUGAUGUUUUGAAUACUUGAUUGUUGCACUUUGUAAUAGUGUUUUUGAUACGUUUUUUAAGGUGUUUCUAUAAGCAUAAAUCCUUUUUAAUAAAAAUUAUCACAACCUUUUUACUUGCAAAACAAGAAAAAAAAAACACCAUCUAUUUUUUUUUGCUAGUUCUAAACGAGCUAUCGGAGGUUAAAUAUUUGUUUCGAUCGUAAUUUAGUUCUCUUUUGAAGCUAUUUUACGACGCUCUUUGUAAUUAUCUGCCCCAUCAACUUCGGAUGGUAGGAUAGAGGCUUACCAUGGUUUUAACGGGUAACGGGGAAUCAGGGUUCGAUUCCGGAGAGGGAGCCUGAGAAACGGCUACCACUUCCAAGGAAGGCAGCAGGCGCGCAAAUUACCCAAUGCAAAAUUUGUGAGGUAGCGACAAAAUAUAACGAUGGGGUCCGAACCAGGUCUCAUAAUCUUAAUGAAUAGUGUAUAAAUAACAUUGUAAGAAGCAACUAGAGGGCAAGCCUGGUGCCAGCAGCCGCGGUAAUUCCAGCUCUAGUAGCGUAUAUUUCUGGUACUGCAGUUAAAACGUUCGUCGUUGAUAUUUAUUUUUAAAAAUAAUCUACUUUCUUAGUUAAAAAAAAAAAAAAUCAAGCAAAAUGCAGCUCAAAAUUUCUUUGUUUUUUUGUAAAGUGUUUUUGAUUUUUAAUUUUUUUUCCCUCGAGUUAGUAGUAAAAAUUCUAGCUAUAAAAAAGUAACACCUUGUUUUCCUUCAAGGCCUGUAAAUAUGUUUAUUUUCUCAUUGUAACAAUUAGCUAUUUUACAAUUUGAAGGCAGGCAGGUUUACUUAAAUAGCUUUUGUUACAUAAAUUACCAUGAAUAAAUUAGAGUGAUCAAAGCAGGUGCAGCUAGUGCGCCUUUUAAGCAUACGCCACAUGGAAUAAUAAAAGAAGGUCAAAAGGUUUGUCUUCUUUUUUGGUUUUUUAAACCUUAUGACAAUGACUAUCAAGGGCGAUUCGGGGUACUUGUAUGGCAUGGCUAGCGGUGAAAUGUGAGGAUCCUUGCCCGACACACGAAUGCGAAAGCAAAUACCUGUUACGUCCCUGUUAAUCAUGAACGAAGGUUGGGGGAGUCAAAACGAUUAGAUACCGUUGUAGUCCCAACAGCAAACUAUGCCAACUGUCUCUUGGAAAUGAUCGCAAACUUUGACUUUUUCAGGGGGCUCCCGGGAAACCGUUAAGUGUACGGGUUCUGUGGGGAGUAUGGCCGCAAGGCUGAAACUUAAAGGAAUUGACGGAAGGGCACCACCAGGAGUGGAGCUUGCGGCUUAAUUCGACUCAACACGGGAAAACUUACCAGGUCCAGACAUUAGUAAGGAUUGACAGCAUGUAUAAAUCUUAAAGGAGCUUUCGUGAUUCUAUGGGUGGUGGUGCAUGGCCGUUCCCAGUUCGUGGAGUAAUCCGUCAGGUUAAUUCCGGUAACGAACAAGAUCUCAUCUGACUAAUAUUCAGGCAAUCUUCAUUGACUUGCACUUAGAAGGAAAAAUAGCAGAACUACAAUCUACGUGUUUACGCUAAAAUGAAUCAGGGGACUACAACAGGUCUGUGAUGCCCUUAGAUGCUCUGGGCCGCACGCGCGCUACAAUGGCUUGAACAAAAAGCUAUUUCCAAGUGAAAAAUGAGUUUAAAUUUAUAAACCAAAAUUGUUAAAAGUUUUUUGUUUUUCGUAUAGGGAAAAAAGCAAACAAAUUUUUAGCAGUUUUUAUUAUUGUAAAUUUUCUUAGAGUUUUUUAUUUUUUGUUUUGUCAAAAAAAAAAAAAAAGAAAAAAAAGAUUACACAAUAUAUAUAGUCAGCUUUGAAAAAGGCUGGCUAUAUGCGGCAGGUGUUUGCACGCUGAUUACGUGCGAAUAAAGCAAAAAUCUCCUUUCAAGCAGCUUAACCCACCUUGUCAGUAUGGCUGCUCUCACUUACUAUGACGUUGCAUCAAGACGUCUAAUCCUAUGUUAGCUAUUAAAAUUCUGCAAAGUUUUGUAAAAAAAACUUUUGUAUCUACGCUUUUAAAUCUGUGUUUUUUUUUAAGGCACGUUUUUAGAAAAGAUAUAUAUUGAAUUCACAAAGGUAACCUUUCUGCUUGUUUGUAAACAGUGCGCAGCAAGCAUUAAGCAGAUAAAAACAACCAAAACCCCCCCUCUAAUCUAAAAAAAAAUACCUCCCAAAAAAAAAUCCCUUUCCUGAAUUUCGAAAAUUUUGUAAUAUUCCUCUUUCUCGACAAAAAUGCGUUAUACCCCCGGAAGUUACUUUUGAUUUUGGUCGGCCCACUAUGCGAUCAAAUUCUUUUCCACCCCCCCCCCCUUUUUUGUAUGCGGCUAAAUAUUUUGGUUACUAUUCAAUAUGUAUGUCCCGCGGGAUUUUAAAAGCUAAUUUAGGAAUUCUGAAGUUGUAACGGCAUCUUAGGGGAGUUCUGGUCUGCUGAAAAGAGACGUUACUGUUUGAAAAUUAUUGUUUUCUUUGUGAACCCUCAAAGUACGCAAGGAAAACUUUACUCUAAUCAUUUAGAUUUCCUCUAUUUCUUUUUUUAAAAGUAAAUAGGCAACUUGCUGGCUACUGCUUUAGUUGGUAGCGUUGUAUUUUUUAAUACGUUUUUUGUGUUUUUUGAUUUUUCCUUUUUCUUUUCUUGACACAACACAAGUAUCUAAUUCUUUUUUUUUUUUGCAAAACGUAGAAACUUUUUUCUGUGUGUAUUUCUUUUGAAAUACGUGCAAAAAAUUUAGCGAAACUUGUUUUGCUUAUUGAUUAACAUGUUGUAAACUAUAGCAAAUUUUGGUUUCAUAAUUACUUGUUUUCAUGUAAAUGUUCCAUUAACGAAAGUUGAAAUUUUGUUUGACCUUUGAACCGUAAGGAGUUCUUAUCUAAGAUUUAAAUGCUUUGAUAACGCUAUUAGGGUUGCAUGUACGACUCUCUUAGAGGUUUCCCUUAGCUGCCUUACAAUGUAUAAUGUGUUUUAUAUGGUUCUUCGUACCAUUUGGUAAUUUUGCAAACCUAGUUUGUGAAUGCUGGGUGGAACCCAAAACCAAGAUAAGAUUUUUCCCAUUCUUUUCAAGUUUUGGGUGUUGAGCGGGAAUCUUGGAAAUCGAGUCUAGGUUGGAAUAACCGAGUGUAAUUCUCGGUUUGAACGUGGAAUUUCUAGUAAGUGCGAUUCAUCACAUCGCGCUGAAUACGUCCCUGCCCUUUGUACACACCGCCCGUCGCUACUGCCGAUGCACGUCUUAUAGAGGCAAUCAGAUUAUUUUUUUUAGAUUGUGAAUUUUAUUCCGUCUACCUUGACGCUUAUACAUGUAUUUGUAUUGUAAGCCGACUCAAGUUACCGCUUUUUUUAAAAGCAGAGUAGGAAAGCAAGAAGAUUGUCAAUGUUAGGCGCAUAGAGGAAGUAAAAGUCGUAACAAGGUUUCCGCAGGUUCACCUACGGAAACCUUGUUA